rnacentral:rRNA from 1 species
CCUACGGGUGGCAGCAGUGAGGAAUAUUGGUCAAUGGGCGCGAGCCUGAACCAGCCAAGUAGCGUGAGGGAUGACUGCCCUACGGUUUGUACACUUCUUUUGGCAGGGAGUAAUGCCGUGCCCGUGUGCCUUUUUGUAUGUCCUUUAUGAAUAACGAUCGGCUAACUCCGUGCCAGCAGCCGCGGUAAUACGGAGGAUCCGCGCGUUAUCCGGAUUUAUUGGGUUUAAAGGGAGCGUAGAUGGGUUGUUAAGUCAGUUGUGAAAGUUUGCGGCUCAACCGUAAAAUUGCAAUUGAUACUGGCAGUCUUGAGUACAGUAGAGGUAGGCGGAAUUCGUGGUGUAGCGGUGAAAUGCUUAGAUAUCACGAAGAACUCCGAUUGCGAAGGCAGCUUGCUAGACUGCCACUGACGCUGAUGCUCGAAAGUGUGGGUAUCAAACAGGAUUAGAUACCCUUGUAGUC